AGAAUUUGAUCUUGGUUCAGGAUGAACGCUGGCGGCGUGCCUAACACAUGCAAGUCGAGCGAUUUACUUCGGUAAAGAGCGGCGGACGGGUGAGUAACGCGUGGGUAACCUGCCUCAUACACAUGGAUAACAUACCGAAAGGUAUGCUAAUACAGGAUAAUAUAAGAGAUUCACAUGGAUUUCUUAUCAAAGCUCCGGCGGUAUGAGAUGGACCCGCGUCUGAUUAGCUAGUUGGUAAGGUAAUGGCUUACCAAGGCGACGAUCAGUAGCCGACCUGAGAGGGUGAUCGGCCACAUUGGAACUGAGACACGGUCCAAACUCCUACGGGAGGCAGCAGUGGGGAAUAUUGCACAAUGGGCGAAAGCCUGAUGCCAGCAACGCCGCGUGAGUGAUGAAGGCCUUCGGGUCGUAAAACUCUGUCCUCAAGGAAGAUAAUGACGGUACUUGAGGAGGAAGCCCCGGCUAACUACGUGCCAGCAGCGGC
rnacentral:rRNA from 1 species